AACCAAGUUCCAGUCCUGUAGUUAAUGUAGCCUUAACAUUUGAGCAUUAGAAUAUUUUGGAGUUUGUUGUCCAUAUGUAUAUAUAUGUAUGUAUAGUCAAACCUCAAAUUUCAAACAAUUUAGUUCAUGAACAGAGUUUCAAAUUCAUAAUUGUCCUGGUUGCCUUAUGAUAACUAAGUUGCUGAACAAGCUACUCAGCAAGAACCAGCAACAGAUUAGAGAGAGAGAGAGAGAGAGAGUCUACUCCUUAUAUUUCCUAUCUUAAAGAAAGUUGAUGGUCUGACUAAUCAACAACAUGACUACCAAUUCAGUAAUUAGUGAUACUGAGAUCACCUUGCGUCAAGUCUUGUUCAUUAAACAUUACUGUAAAUAUGUGAGGCUUUUUAACCACACAAGAUUGUUUCGAAGUUCCUUCAGAGCAAGCAUGAAUCUAAAACUUCUGUGCAGUGUCUACAGAUUACAUUCGAAGGAUAACUUAUGUGGACCACUUAUUAAAAAUAUUUUUUUUUUUGUUGUAAUAACUAUUUGCCACAAAGGUAUAUUCUGUAGUGCAAAAUGUUGUGAGACUGGAAUUAAUUAGAAGAGAAGAAACUGGAACUGAAAUAAACAUCAAUGAAGAAUUUAAUCAAAUGCAAAUUUGGUGAAAAAGCAGAAGAGAGUUAUAGUUCUGAAAAUCAGCUUAUUGUAAUCACUUUUGGAACCUGCAUCAGCCUACCACUUUGGAGAGAGAGAAAUGAAUCUAAGUGAACAAAAAACCUCAAGACUUUCGUAGAUAGUAUCUGUCCAUAUACAUCAGGUCCUCACCAUCCAGUUAUCAUUGUGAACCUAGCUAAACCCACAAUGGAUAUGGGAAAAAAAGGCCCUCUUAGUGCCUACAGGACAAAGCCAAAAAUGCAUUUGCUUCAAUAACCAAAUUUUAUUUUAUUUCAAAGUGUCAUCUGAAGAUAAUUUGCAUUAAUAUUAUGUUAAAACAAUUUGUUAUACUGUUCAACUAAUUAAUUUUAAUUUGAAACUAAUGUUCUAGUCCAUUUCACAAAUGAUUGUGAAUAUUCCAGGUAAUUCUUUCAAAUCACAUAUAUAUUUCUCUCUCUAAGUAAAAGCCUUUGGAAGAAUUGAGAGGAACCUAUUGAUGAUAGAUAAUUAACUGGUGAAACAGACCAUAUGCUACUUGACUUUGAAUAGUUGUUUUUGCAAAUUGAAAAGGCAAGAAUAAGCUAUAAAAGCAUAAAAGAUGGAUGAAAAUCAAAUGAUUAGCAUUCAUCAUUUAAAAUGUGUUUUGAAAUGUGAAAAUGAAUAAAGAAUGAUUUUAUACAGACUUAAUUUUUACAUUUUUUUUCUAAAAAUGGUAACUUCAUUAUUUUCUAGAAAUUAUUUUGAGAAACAUUUUCAUAGAUAGAACUAGAUGGGACAGUGAAUAAUAAUUGUACAAGGUAACUUCAAAUAGUUCCUGGAAUUGGUUUAUUACUCAAAAGUAUGUGUA